GGCAAAGGUGGUACUGUUGAAUAGAGAGGCACUGCGAUGAUGUCACUCCCUAUGGCACGCUCUGGGCCUGAGCAAAUGGAGGCAUUGCCCUGGGUCCUUAAUGAGCAUGUGAUACCCUGCGUCACUGUAGAGUUAUCACCAAGAAGGCCUUCGCCAGAUGUGUUCCCUGGACUUUGGACUUCCCAGCCUCUGAAACUAUGCAGUGCUCAAUCUGCGAACUCUCCAAGGCCUAGAAAACUGCUAACAAGUUAUCUUCAAAGAAC